rnacentral:rRNA from 1 species
AACACGGACCAAGGAGUCUAGCAUGUGCGCGAGUCAUUGGGAAAUAACUAAACCUAAAGGCGCAAUGAAAGUAACGUGGAAACUUCCCCAGGUUGGAUCCACGAGGGAAGAUGGGCGGUUCGCCGAAAAGUGGCCGCCCCGCAUUCCCGGGGCGUCUCAUUCUCAUUACGAGUAGAGGCGCACCAAGAGCGUACACGCUGGGACCCGAAAGAUGGUGAACUAUGCCUGGUCAGGACGAAGUCAGGGGAAACCCUGAUGGAGGUCCGUAGCGAUUCUGACGUGCAAAUCGAUCGUCGGAACUGGGUAUAGGGGCGAAAGACUAAUCGAACCAUCUAGUAGCUGGUUCCCUCCGAAGUUUCCCUCAGGAUAGCUGGCGCUCGUUGCGCACGAGUCUCAUCCGGUAAAGCGAAUGAUUAGAGGCAUUGGGGUCGAAACGGCCUCAACCUAUUCUCAAACUUUAAAUGGGUGAGAUCUCCGGCUUGCUCGAACUUUUGAAGCCGCGAGACACGGAUCAGAGUGCCAAGUGGGCCAUUUUUGGUAAGCAGAACUGGCGCUGUGGGAUGAACCAAACGCCGAGUUAAAGCGCCUAAAUCGACGCUUAUGGGAUACCAUGAAAGGCGUUGGUAACUUAAGACAGCAGGACGGUGGCCAUGGAAGUCGGAAUCCG